rnacentral:rRNA from 1 species
UACGGAAGGCAGCAGUGGGGAAUAUUGCACAAUGGGCGAAAGCCUGAUGCAGCUAUGCCGCGUGUAUGAAGAAGGCCUUAGGGUUGUAAAGUACUUUCAUCGGGGAGGAAAAAACAAAACUAAUAAUUUUAUUUCUUGACGUUACCCGAAAAAGAAGCACCGGCUAACUCCGUGCCAGCAGCCGCGGUAAUACGGAGGGUGCUAGCGUUAAUCAGAAUUACUGGGCGUAAAGAGCACGUAGGUGGUUUUUUUAAGUCAGAUGUGAAAUCCCUGGGCUUAACCUGGAACUGCAUUUUGAAACUGAAAUACUAGAGUAUCGUAGAGGGAGGUAGAAUUCUAGGUGUAGCGGUGAAAUGCGUAGAUAUCUGGAGGAAUACCUGUGGCGAAAGCGGCCUCCUAAACGAAUACUGACACUGAGGUGCGAAAGCGUGGGGAGCGAAACAGGGAUUUAGAUACCCGU